UCACAUUGAAAAACCAGUUCCCGUAUGAUCACCGCAGUUAAGCAAUGUCGAGCCUCGUCAGUACGGAGAUGGGUCACUGCUUGGGAAUAUCAAGUGAUGUAA